rnacentral:lncRNA from 1 species
GACAGAAGUAGAAUUCAGAAUAUGAAUAGGAACGAACUUCAGUAAGCUACAGGAGUAUGUUGUAACCCCAUGCAAGGAAGCUAAAAAUCAUGAUAAAACAUUGCUGGAGCUGACAGACAAAAUAACCAAUAUAGAGAAGAAUGGAACUAAUCUGAUAGAGCUGAAAAACACACAAGAAUUUCAUAAUGCAAUCAGAAGUGUUUAUAGCAGAGUAGACCAAGCAGAGGAAAGAAUCUCAGAGCUUGAAGACUACUGUUGUAAAAUAAGACAGACAAGAAAAGAGAAGAAAGCAUGAAAAAGAAUGAAGAAAACCUUUGAGAAAUAUGGGAUUAUGUAAAGAGACUGAAUUUAUGACUGACUGGUGUACCUGAAAGAGAUGAGGAGACUGGAACCAAUCUGGAAAACAUAUUUCAGGAUAUCAUCCAUGAGAACUUCCCCAGCCUAGCUGGACAGGCCAACAAUCAAAUUCAGGAAAUGCAAAGAACCCCAAUAAGAUAUCCCACUAGAAGAUAAUCACCUUGUGAUUGGGCAUUAGGGUAGCUUCCAGCUUGGCACUACUGUAAAUAAUAUUGCAAUGACAAUCCUUUUGGACAAAUAAUUCCUGAUUCCCACACCCCUCACCACAUACACACACUUUGUAUUAAUUCCUGAGCAACCCAC